GGUUGGACAAUAAAAAACUGAAACACCUGGUUUUAGACCACAAUCAUUUAUUGUGGUGACGGACAGUUCUGGUGGAAACAGGAGAGUUGAGGUGCACAUUGAAUCAUUCUGUCGUGAUUUGAUCAGCCGUGGUUUUAUGUUUUUUGGAUACAAUCCGGGUUAGCACCCAAACAUCCCUUUCAGACAGCUUCCUCUUACAGCGUCCACAGUUAAUCCUGUUGGAUGUGGUUGGUCCUUCUUGGUGGUAUGAUUACAUUACCCUGGAUACCGUGGCUCUUGAUGCAUCACAAAGACUUGAUGUCUUGGUCACAGUUGCACCAGCAAGAUGUGCACCAACAAUUUGUUCUCUUUUGAACUCUGGUAUGUCACCCAUAAUGUUGUGUGUGUUGCAAUAUUUUGGAUAAAACUGUGCUCUUACCCUGCUAAUUGAACCUUCACACUCUUACUGCUCUUACUGGUGCAAUAAUGUGCAAUUAAUGAAGAUUGGCCACCAGGCUGCUCCAAUUUACCCAUGAAACCUCCCACACUAAAAUGACAGGUGUUUCAGUUUCAUUGUCCAACCCCUGUAUCACAGCCUGAUAGUGGGUGCUAAAAAAUUGGGACAUUUCAUUUCUGUAAUUACAUUUCUGAGUGAAUUUACCCAUUUUGAUCAACAAUGCGAUUAAACAAUGUGUUCCCAAAAUUCAGAAAAAGCUAAAGGUUCUUAGCUUCUAUUGGACAUGGCAAAAGUCAUGGUACACUGUUUCACUCUGACUUGUUCAAUGAAUCUUGGAAAAUUGCAUGUUCAAAUAGGAAUUAUCCCAUCCAAUUUGGGGCCCAUUUGAACAUGAAUGCAGCCUAAGCACUGAAUGGGAGUUAUCUUUAACAUGUUCCUUCAUGACCCACUUUUGGAUACAGGAUUAGCUCAGAACAGUGGCUGUAAUUUAGUCGCCGUUUUGGUGCAAUUUGGUGUUCUUACUAAAACAGCUAGAAAACAGUCAGUUCUGUCAGAGCACUGCGAUCAGUUCUAAAUGCUAGCCGUCUGCUGGAGAAAAAAAGUGAAUGGAUGCUUUCAUCAGUUUGAGAGGUUAACACCUUCCCGUUUGGCUUUCAGCGUUCAGAUCGAUAUAUUAGUGCAUUCGGUACAUUCACUGCAUUACCAUGCAGGUAUCCUGUAGUGGCCUUCUUUCAAAAAACACUGAAAAGAGUACCUGACACACACACACACACACACACACACACACACACACACACACACACACACACACACACACACACAACAGCUCAGAUCAAUGCUAAAUCCGUUUGGCGGAAAUGCCGGCCAACGCCUGCAUGUAUUCUAAGCAUGUAGCUCGAGCAAGCACAGCAGUCCAUUGGCAGUGAAUGGGGCUGUUUGAGAGAUUCUGGAAGCUGAAUGUUGAGGGAGGGGAGAGCUCGCUCCUGGGGGGGUUUCUGGUUUCUGUGGUUGCCAUGUCCACUUGUGCAGAGUCAAUGGAUCGAUUGGUUGGGGCCAAGAGACCACACAGGCAACGGCAAAUGCCAAAACUGCACAAAAAAACUCAUGUUAAACCGCUGGAUUUCCAGCUCCACACUGGGCAUAUGAAUUCAUAGUAUUAUAGUAUUAAAGGUUUGGAGUGUAUUUCUGGAAAAGACCUGGAUGUCCAUGGCCCACCACAUAGCCACGUACCAUGUAGCCCUACCUCUCCAUGUUGUCUGUUAAUGCCUAGAGGUGUAGUUUCCCAAUUCUUGUUGGAAUAGAAUUGGAGGGAACAGUUGUAGGGCUACUUAACCCAAGAGGCACACUCCAAAAGGAACAACCAAAAGGAAUGAGCAAAGGAACCAACAAAUGUAGUAUUUCUUGUUAAAACUUACAAUAAUCAGUCCAUCAUCAUAAUAGUUGGUAACACUUUACUUGGAUAGUCCAUUUCAGGGCCUUGUUGAUGCUCAACUGAUAUUCAACUAACAUUCAACUAACAUUCAGCUAAAUGCCUAUUAAAAAUACUUAACUUAACUCUCUGUGGAAUUUACAUGAUGUAAUAUAGAACCUCACAUUGAUUAUACCACAGUUUGCACCGACCCUGCAAUGUGAUUGGCUUAGAGGCGGAUUAUGAGUGAUAUUUUUAGCCGGUAAUUCACUGUCACCGAAGCUCUCUGUGUAUUACUCCGGCACAUACAGGUAACCUAGCAAUGAUGCAGCGCUUACAAACCAAAUCGUACAAACUACAUGCGAUAUUAUAAUACAUUUGAGGUUUGUGCUCCUCCCUGUUGUGUAUUACUUCUUAAAUAGAAAAUCAUUUACUUUCACCUUUCAGUUCAUUUGCAUUUACUAGACAUGCAGUUGAAUAUUAGUUGAAUGUCAGUUGAGCAUCAAUGAGGCCAUCAAUCUGACCUUCCAAGUAAAGUGUUACCUCAUAGUUUAACGUAGAUUUAAAGUAAUAUGGCUUCUUUUUAUAACAAGCAUCACUAGUAAAAAAUCACUGGUAGCACAGCUCAGUAGCUAAAUUACCCCCAACCAGUUACAGUUACACCCAACCAGACCAGCUGGAUGUUUUGGAGAUGCUCUGACCUUCAGUCUUUUCUAACCAUCAUAAUCUAGCUCUUGCAAAACAGCUGUAGAGUCUUAUACUCUUUCACACCCUCCAUUCAUUACAAUGGACAUCAUGUAUUUUUCUCAUUUUUUAAAUUGUUUUGUUGCAGAUAACACUAUUUUAGAGCCAAUGAAAAAGUUUAUAAUCCAGUGAAAUCCAAUGUAACUUGGCCCACUGCACUGGAAAAAAACUGUGGUACUAGAGACAUUGAUGCAAAGUAACAGCUAAUUUUUUUUUUACUAAUGUAAUAUGAUUUAAAACAUUUUUAAUCCUGUUUUUUUAUUAAAUAAAAAGGUCAAUAUGAAAUAUAAUAUAAAAUAUUACACACAGGCUUCUAAUGCAAUGAAAAAAAAUAUAUAUAUAUAUAUAAAAUAUUUUAGUUAAUUGGAUUUAUUCGCUAUAUAUAUAUUUUA